GAUGAAGAACGUAGCGAAAUGCGAUAAGUAGUGUGAAUUGCAGAAUUCAGUGAAUCAUCGAAUCUUUGAACGCACAUUGCGCCCUUUGGUAUUCCUUAGGGCAUGCCUGUUCGAGCGUCAUUUAGACCUUAAAGCUCAGCUUGGUGAUGGGUGACUGUCCUCCCCUCGCGGGGGGACUCGCCUCAAAAACAUUGGCGGCCGGUACAUUGGCUUCGAGCGCAGCAGAAACGCGGUCUCGAGCCCGGUGGAUCGGCUCCCAUAAGUCUAUUCUUUUAUUUUGACCUCGGAUCAGGUAGGGAUACCCGCUGAACUUAAGCAUAUCAAUAAGCGGAGGA
rnacentral:misc_RNA from 1 species